GAUGAACGCUAGCGGCAGGCUUAAUACAUGCAAGUCGAGGGGCAGCAGGACUGUAGCAAUACAGUUGCUGGCGACCGGCAAACGGGUGCGGAACACGUACGCAACCUACCCAAAACUGGGGGAUAGCCCGGGGAAACCCGGAUUAAUACCUCGUAACCUUUUUAAGUGGCAUCACUUGAUAAGUAUAGCUCCGGCGGUUUUGGAUGGGCGUGCGCCUGAUUAGGUAGUUGGUGCGGGUAACGGCCCACCAAGCCUGCGAUCAGUAACUGGUGUGAGGGCACGACCAGUCACACGGGCACUGAGACACGGGCCCGACUCCUACGGGAGGCAGCAGUAAGGAAUAUUGGUCAAUGGACGCAAGUCUGAACCAGCCAUGCCGCGUGAAGGAUGAAGGUCCUCUGGAUUGUAAACUUCUUUUAUGGGGGACGAAACCCGGAUAUUCUUAUCCGAUUGACGGUACCUCAGGAAUAAGCACCGGCUAACUCCGUG
rnacentral:rRNA from 1 species